AACGUAGGUGGCGAGCGUUAUCCGGAUUUACUGGGCGUAAAGCGUGUGCAGGCGGCCUCACAAGUGGUGUAUGAAAUAUCCAGGCUCAACCUGGAGGGGUUAUGCCAGACUGUGAGGCUAGAGUGCGAGAGAGGGGCGUGGAAUUCCGGGUGUAGUGGUGAAAUGCGUAGAGAUCCGGAGGAACCCCAGAGGCGAAGGCGGCGCCCUGGCUCGCAACUGACGCUCAGACACGACAGCAUGGGGAGCAAACAGG
rnacentral:rRNA from 1 species